rnacentral:rRNA from 1 species
AGCGGAGGAAAAGAAACUAACAAGGAUUCCCCUAGUAACGGCGAGCGAACAGGGAAGAGCUCAAAUUUGAAAUCUGGCGUCCUCCGGGCGUCCGAGUUGUAAUCUAUAGAGACGUUUUCCGUGCCGGACCGUGUCCAAGUUCCUUGGAACAGGAUAUCAAAGAGGGUGACAAUCCCGUACUUGACACGACGACCGGUGCUCUGUGAUACGUUUUCUACGAGUCGAGUUGUUUGGGAAUGCAGCUCAAAAUGGGUGGUGAGUUCCAUCUAAAGCUAAAUAUUGGCGAGAGACCGAUAGCGAACAAGUACCGUGAGGGAAAGAUGAAAAGCACUUUGGAAAGAGAGUUAAACAGUACGUGAAAUUGUUAAAAGGGAAACGAUUGAAGUCAGUCGUGUCUGGGAGGCUCAGCCGGUUCUGCCGGUGUAUUCCUCUCAGACGGGUCAACAUCAGUUUUGUCCGACGGAUAAUGGCGGCGGGAAAGUAGCACCUCCGGGUGUGUUAUAGCCCGCUGUCGCAUACGCCGGAUGAGACUGAGGCAUGCAGCUCGCCUUUAUGGCAGGGGUUCGCCCACUUUCGAGCUUAGGAUGUUGACGUAAUGGCUUUAAACGACCCGU